AGAGUUUGAUCCUGGCUCAGGAUGAACGCUGGCGGCGUGCUUAACACAUGCAAGUCGAACGAUGAUGCCAGCUUGCUGGUGGAUUAGUGGCGAACGGGUGAGUAACACGUGAGUAACCUGCCCUUAACUCUGGGAUAAGCCUGGGAAACUGGGUCUAAUACCGGAUAUGACCUUCCAUCGCAUGGUGGUUGGUGGAAAGCUUUUUGUGGUUUUGGAUGGACUCGCGGCCUAUCAGCUUGUUGGUGAGGUAAUGGCUUACCAAGGCGACGACGGGUAGCCGGCCUGAGAGGGUGACCGGCCACACUGGGACUGAGACACGGCCCAGACUCCUACGGGAGGCAGCAGUGGGGAAUAUUGCACAAUGGGCGCAAGCCUGAUGCAGCGACGCCGCGUGAGGGAUGACGGCCUUCGGGUUGUAAACCUCUUUCAGUAGGGAAGAAGCGAAAGUGACGGUACCUGCAGAAGAAGCGCCGGCUAACUACGUGCCAGCAGCCGCGGUAAUACGUAGGGCGCAAGCGUUAUCCGGAAUUAUUGGGCGUAAAGAGCUCGUAGGCGGUUUGUCGCGUCUGCCGUGAAAGUCCGGGGCUCAACUCCGGAUCUGCGGUGGGUACGGGCAGACUAGAGUGAUGUAGGGGAGACUGGAAUUCCUGGUGUAGCGGUGAAAUGCGCAGAUAUCAGAGGAACACCGAUGGCGAAGGCAGGUCUCUGGGCAUUAACUGACGCUGAGGAGCGAAAGCAUGGGGAGCGAACAGGAUUAGAUACCCCGGUAGUCC
rnacentral:rRNA from 1 species